rnacentral:lncRNA from 1 species
UAUUGGUGUGUUGAUUGUCAUACCAUUUGAGAUGGAAAUUCACCCAUUCUUAAGGGUAAAUGUUCCUUGAUCAUAGAGGGACGUGUUGCCGAUUUUAAAAGUGCGAUUCCAUAAAUUGGCCCCACAUGAUAUUUUUACAUGAUUUUUUAUCCAAAGCACAAAAGUUCAAUAUGGGUACCAAUCUUUUUUUGAUAAGUAUACUAUGAUUUUGAUAGCGUGACAUCUUGCUGAAGC